rnacentral:lncRNA from 1 species
GGAGUUCUUGACCUAACAAGUCAGCAGGUUCCGUUCCUUUGGACUUUCUAGACCCAUAUGUAUUGGGCUCUGGCCAACUCAGAGAGAAUGAGUGUAGAUUUUAUUUCCUAGGGCUAAGUCGUGUAGUGUGGUAGGUAAAAAGGAUGAUCACUGCAGACAGCUUAAUGGGAGGAACUAGUGCCUUCAGUUCUCAACAAACACAUCACCUGUCUUGUUCUGAUCAUGUAGCUCUUAAGAGGAAACAACUGCAUGUUUUCAGAGAAGAUACCCUCAGACCCAUGAUAGCAUAAAUUGUUGAAAGAGCUGUGAAAAGAACUGAUGCUCUGCAAAUGCAAGAUAGUAUUGCUAUUAUUAGUCAAUGUUAUGGACCCUAUCUUCAUUCCUGUGAGAAAAUUGCACUUUUUCAUAUUUAGCGUACAGGCAUGUUGCUUUGCUGAAGCUUUUGGGUGAGAGCCGAGCUUUUCUUUAGUUCAGUUUACAUUUGUGUGUUUCAUAGCCUCGAAUUGUGUGUUUUGUUCUCUUAAAAACAUAAGGUGACCCCAAAAUCUGAUUGUAUUCCUCUCUCUCCCAAACUAUAUUUAAAGACUUCCCAAGUUGUCUUUCUCUCUGCUUUUUGAUAAGACAUUGUCUGACUUUGCACAGUUUGUUUUUAAUACUGUUUGGGUGUGGUAUUCAUGUAGCAUUUUAAAAUUGUGUUUCAUAGAUUUUCGACUGUGUGAAUGCAUCAGGCUGUGAGUGUCUUCCUUGUGGGGAUACUUUGGGAAAGUGUUCUUCUGUGCUAUUCUGGGAUGGGUAAAACUGAUGUGCUGAAUUUGUAACUGAAAGUACAUUUACAAUGAAGUGUUAUUUCUGAAGGACAGAAGUG